rnacentral:rRNA from 1 species
AUUAGAGCUAUAAUCAAAUUAAUAAAUUAAUUAAAAUUGUUUUCAAAUCCAAAUUCAAAUUACCAAAAAUAAUAACUAUCAAAAAAUAUCUCUAUUCUAACCCAUUUUUACUUUUUUAUAAGCUGCAUCUUGAUCUGAUUAAUUUUUUAAUAAAAAAUCUUAAAUAUUUUUAAUCCUAAUAAAUACUUAAUUACGAAGAUAUAGAAGCUAAAAAAAAUACAUAAAAUCGUAGACUAUCGUUUAUAAAACAGGGUCCUCUGAAAAGACUAAAAUACCGCCAAAAUUUUUAAUUUUAAAGAAAAAGUGUUAAUAAUUUAAUAAAAAAAAAACACAUUUUAAAUAAUAGGGUAUUUAAUCCUAGUUUACURACAAAAUUUCUUAACUUCACUACCUAAAUAAAAUUUUCUAAAAAUUUAAAAUUUUCUAAAAAUUUAAAAUUUUACUCAAUAUAUUAAAAAUUAAAAUUCUCAAUCAGUAAAAUCAAUUAUUAUUAAUCRAAUUACCGCA